rnacentral:tmRNA from 1 species
GGGGGUGAUUGGUUUCGACUUGGGACGGUAGUUCCAGGAGAAGCGGGCCGAGGAUCCAUGCUUAUCUCGUUAACGAUGUAUGGAAAACAAUAAGUGCCAACAACAACCGCACUAACUUCGCUCUCGCUGCCUGAUCAGUGACCGAAGGGUCAGCCUGAACGUGCCUUCCGUUCAGUACCUGGCCUAAUCUAGAAGGCUUGCUGCGUGAUCUGUGUUCCAGGGAUCACGCGGGACUUUACUGGAGCUGGGCUCGUCUGCGACAUGCCGACGUGAGUGCAGGAGCCAAGUAGAACGAUUAGUCGGCUGCGCCCGGAGAAUGUCUGGUUCGCCUCUUGAGGACGCGGGUUCAAUUCCCGCCACCUCCACCC